GGAAAGAAAGGCUCGAUCUCCCUCUUCUGGGACUUAGCGUUCUGAGCAUGCGGUUUUUGCAACGGCCAUUUCGUGCCGCUUCGAUCUCAUCAACUUCUCUCCUCUCCCACCCCCCUUUUUGAUCCACACUUUGGGGCUUGCAAAUUUUUGACAUGUCAAAUGAGAGUGAAGUCAAAAUGUAAACCGUAAGUGUUUGCGUGUGCGGUGACCUUAUUAAACAUAAAACUAACCACGACAGUAUUAUUUAGUUGUAGCGGAAGCCAAAAAAAUAGCUUGGAGCAUUCAAUAAAGCAGGAUGAAAUUUUUAACCUUCACGCACGACGCUGACGCUGAGGUAAGGUGUGCUUGUGUUUAAUUUCGAUGAUUGUUUCAUUUUAGGAUGUGAUUUGUGCCAUAUAACCUUUUCUGGCGGGGAUUCUUUAGUCGGCAUCGUCUGCAGCUGUUAAGCGGUGCAGAGGAAGGGGCUCGCUACGACCCUUCCCACACCCGGACGCUUUUUCCGGGGAUGAAGGAAAUGUUCCCGGCUAUAUGCGCAAAAUCUAACGGUAACCCGUGUUGUAAACGAAUCGGCAUAAGCGGUGCCGGACACUGUGGAAAUUGUACACAACGGGACGAUGUCCAGGCACGACACAAGAGUACGAUUACAUGCAACUGAUCUGCUCUACGUGCCACCUGAUGCUGGCGUUCGGCAAAACACAGAAGGAAAGGAUUUCGACCUGUGGAACAAGGAUGUGCUGAAUGCGUUACUGAUAGAUAUCACGUAGAUCAUUCUACUGCGACUAUAAGGGAUAGUUGCUGGAUUGUAUUCGUGACAGGGCCGGCCAGAAGGGUGUGGGCAAGUUGACGGAAAUUGUCGUAAUGUACCAUAGCGUUCCGGUGAUGCCAAAAGACGAAGCAGACUUCUCCAGCUACUUAUCCACGCCGAAGGAUGAACGUGCUCAGGGCAGCAAACAACUCGCCGGAGCACGGAGCACGAAAGGCAUCGUACGCGCAAGGCUUCAUUUUGCUGCGCGAAGCGGCCAGCGAGUAAAAGAGGACCCUGAACUACGGUUGCUCCUCGGCAACAUUUGAAUUGUGUUUGUAAACAAUUCGCAUCGUACCAUCCAUCUUAUCAUGCGUAUUCCAUAAAAUUAUUCUGCAGUUAUGAAGCGGCUGACAUUAACUUGUUAUAAGGUUACCAAAACGGAAUUGAUGUAAGGCUUCAUGGCUCAGUAUUUGGCCGAAAACGUACGUACUAGUUCAUUGAGCUAUAUAAAAAACAUCAAACCAGCACGCUGUUGCCUCGAGUCGAGUACAUGCUCCGAUUUAACCAAAUUGUUAUCCCUAAAGUGCAUACCCAUCCUAUGCAGAAAUACGUGCUCAAUGUAUGGCGUAGCUUGCUUGUACUUAAACAUAUACAUCUUUCAGUUGUAUGAGUCCCGUAAAUGGUCGUGCCACUUGAAAACAUACGUCCCCAUUAGACCUCAUCAAUAGAUCAUCUAAUAAACGACGGCGCUGCAUUGAAAGCGGUUCAUGGUAGACCUCAAAACUGGUUAGUACUUGAUAAAAAGGUAAGCAAUUCUACACAAGGACACUCCUGGGAACUACUCGUCGAAGUACCUAAAAUAAUAGGUACAGAUUUGCCGGAAGCCGAACAACUAUUUCGCUAACUAAUAAUGAGCUGGAAUAGGAAAAUACGUAAAUCUGGAACUGAUUUUUAGCUACUCAAAACGACGUCACUUGUCGACGUUAUUGUUUAAUAAAACGCAUGCAAACCAAAUACCUUUGUUGUUUCAUUUUGACAGCAGUUGGAAUGGGUCGAACCCCAUUGUGUGUACUCGCAUCAAUACGGCUACACCGUGACGUCACUGAGCGCCUGUUCAUAUUGGGCUUGUUCUCUGAGUGACGUUUAUACCAAUAAGCCCAGAACAAGCCGAGAACAAGCCCAAGAAAUUUUCCCCUGAUGAGUGUCCCCGAGCCUCCUCGUGUGGUUGUUGUUGUUGGAAGUUGAAGCCGAAACCCCCUCGUGCGCUCUCCAAAUCAGACGAGGAGCAAAAUCGAGUUUUUUUUUGCUUGGCCGAAGCGAACGAGA